rnacentral:antisense_RNA from 1 species
CGUUAUGGCGGUUGUGCGCGGGACACCUUCGGGUGUGCCGGGUGUAGCUCCAGGACCUGGUCGGCUAACCCGCGUACAGCUGCCACCCUA